GGGAAUCUUCCACAAUGGGCGAAAGCCUGAUGGAGCAACGCCGCGUGGGUGAAGAAGGUCUUCGGAUCGUAAAACCCUGUUGUUAGAGAAGAAAGUGCGUGAGAGUAACUGUUCACGUUUCGACGGUAUCUAACCAGAAAGCCACGGCUAACUACGUGCCAGCAGCCGCGGUAAUACGUAGGUGGCUAGCGUUAUCCGGAAUUACUGGGCGUAAAGGGUGCGUAGGUGGUUUCUUAAGUCAGAGGUGAAAGGCUACGGCUUAACCGGAGUAGUGCAUUGGAAACUGGGAGACUUGAGUGCAGAAGAGGAGAGUGGAACUCCAUGUGUAGCGGUGAAAUGCGUAGAUAUAUGGAAGAACACCAGUGGCGAAAGCGGCUCUCUGGUCUGUAACUGACGCUGAGGUUCGAAAGCGUGGGUAGCA
rnacentral:rRNA from 1 species